GACGAACGCUGGCGGCGUGCCUAAUACAUGCAAGUCGAGCGCAGGAAACUGACGGAACUCUUCGGAGGGAAGGCAGUGGAAUGAGCGGCGGACGGGUGAGUAACACGUAAGGAACCUGCCUCAAGGAUUGGGAUAACUCCGAGAAAUCGGAGCUAAUACCGGAUAGUUCAACGGACCGCAUGGUCCGCUGAUGAAAGGCGCUCCGGCGUCACCUUGAGAUGGCCUUGCGGUGCAUUGGCUAGUUGGUGGGGUAACGGCCCACCAAGGCGACGAUGCAUAGCCGACCUGAGAGGGUGAUCGGCCACACUGGGACUGAGACACGGCCCAGACUCCUACGGGAGGCAGCAGUAGGGAAUCUUCCACAAUGGACGAAAGUCUGAUGGAGCAACGCCGCGUAAGUGAUGAAGGUUUUCGGAUCGUAAAACUCUGUUGUAAGGGAAGAACACGUACGAGAGGGAAUGCUCGUACCUUGACGGUACCUUACGAGAAAGCCACGGCUAACUACGUGCCAGCCGCCGCGGUAACAC
rnacentral:rRNA from 1 species